AACCAUAGAAACCUGCGGAGUACCUGCGGAGGGAUCAUUACAGAGAAUCUCUUCUCGCACCCUAGCGAACUUGCCCCCCAAAUGACGUUCCUUCGGCGGAGCGGCCCCCGUGGCUGCGCCGCCGGAGGGCCCAACCAACACUGUAUUUUAUUGGUUUCUCUGAGUAUGAUUUUUAAAAUCAGUCAAAACUUUUAGCAACGGAUCU
rnacentral:misc_RNA from 1 species